rnacentral:rRNA from 1 species
AAUGAACGUUGGCGGCGUGGAUUAGGCAUGCAAGUCGUGCGAGAAGCUUCCUUCGGGAAGUGGACAGCGGCGAAAGGGAGAGUAAUACGUAGAAAUCUGCCCCGGAGUCUGGGAUAGCGUCGGGAAACUGGCGGUAAUACCGGAUAACGUCUUCGGACCAAAGGUGUGAUUCCGCUCUGGGAUGAGUCUACGACCUAUUAGCUAGUUGGCGGGGUAAUGGCCCACCAAGGCGACGAUGGGUAGCGGGUGUGAGAGCAUGGCCCGCCUCACUGGGACUGAGACACUGCCCAGACAUCUACGGAUGGCUGCAGUCGAGAAUCUUUGUCAAUGGACGAAAGUCUGAACAAGCGACGCCGCGUGCGGGAUGAAGGCCCUCGGGUUGUAAACCGCUGUCGUAAGGGAACAAAUCUAUAGGGGUUCUCUCCUAUAGUUGAGUGAUCUUAGGAGGAAGGACGGGCUAAGUUCGUGCCAGCCGCCGCGGUAAU